AACGAACGUUGGCGGCGUGGAUGAGGCAUGCAAGUCGAACGCGAAAGCCGCAAGGCGAGUAAAGUGGCGGACGGGCGAGUAACACGUAAUCAAGCUGCCCAAGAGACGGGGGAUAACUCCGGGAAACCGGAGCUAAUACCGAAUGAUCUGUCGGAGGUCUGCGGACUCUGCCGGUAAAGCCGUAAGGCGCGAUAGGAUCGGGUUGCGGCAGAUUAGUUCGUUGGUGGGGUAAUGGCCUACCAAGACUACGAUCUGUAGCUGGUCUGAGAGGAUGAUCAGCCACACUGGAACUGGGAACACGGUCCAGACUCCCACGGGAGGCAGCAGUUGGGAAUAUUGGACAAUGGGAGAAAUCCUGAUCCAGCAAUCCCGCGUGAGUGAUUGAAGGCCUUCGGUCGU
rnacentral:rRNA from 1 species